UCUGUCUUUUCAUGUAUUUACUUCUCUUUUUGUUGUUUUGCUUUUCUUUCCUUGGCCUUCCGGGCUUUGUAGCGUGUAUUUCGGAAAUGGAAUGAAAAGGGUGUUUUGUGUUACCUCGUUCGUGCGUUGUAUUAGAUUGUCGUCCGCCGAACUUUUCUUGUCGUUCGACUUGUCUGAUGUAGACGUCGUUGGGAGACGCCCAGUCGUCGAUGCGUUAGCUUGCCUUCCUCGUCGUACAUGGCCGCAAGCCCGAGCUUGGCGGUCCGGACUCCGCAUUACUUCGAGGAUGUCGCUGUCUUCUUGACCUGUG
rnacentral:lncRNA from 1 species